AUGAGAUAAACAAGAAGCUGAGGGAGAGAUAGCCAGGGAUCCCUGAAGUGCUGGGACUUGGGAGGAAGUUUCUAGUCUCCUCACAGCAAUGAAUUCCAGGACCAAGAACUACAUAAGUGAAUAAGAAGAAUAUAAUUCAGAAGGGCUGAUACCUCUUGGAAGGUGUGAGAAGGCUGAGCUUUUGCUUAAGAUACCAGUAUUUCUCCAAAGGAAGGAGUGCUGAUAUAUCAGUGGGCAAUGUAUUCAGAGCUCAUUUCCUAGACAGAGCACUGAGAUGUCAUGAAUGCCUGUGUGCUAUACUCACCUUCCCCAUGGUACCGGGUGUUCUGGGUGCCUACUGAUGGCAGGAGAGCACCCUCAGCCCCACUGAGAUGUGGGGCACUGUGGUACAGAGGCAGAUCCAGGCUCUCCUGGCUUUCUAGCACCUGUGCCUCAACCACGAGGCCAAAUGCAUACUGAAGGUACCUGUAUUUUACUGCCCCCCUCUUCUGCAUUAAUUAAAACACAUCACUGCACACUUAAGCAAUUUGAAUGUUUUGGAACAAGUCUCGGGACAGCCAAGGGCAUUCAAAGUGAGGAGAAGGCUGGCAGCUUGCCUUCAGCUCUCCGGCUUACCUUGUCUAUCAGCAGCACACAUCACGCAUUGCAAAACUGUGAGAUCUCUGCAGACCCAGAAACAAUGCUCUGGAGGAGAACACAAGGCUCAAGGCAGAGAUCCUCGGUCUUCCUGGGGCUCCAUGACACUGACCGGCUGCCAACAUCUCCACUGAUCUUCUUUCAGUUUUUCCUUGUUUUAUUUUAACAUCUCUCUACGAAAAGCUGGUGGGAACCGUUACUGUAGAAGUGCUCUAUCAGAAUGAUGGCUAAGGGAAAGCUCUGCUAGAUCUGGGGUACGCCUUCCUCUUGGGGAAUUUUUGGAGCUAUCUAAGGCAAGAAAGAGGGAAUUAACAGCAUGUCAAAUAAAAUUCAGGGCUCACAGAGACUCUGUUUUGCCCUUGAGGCCGUAAUGAAGGUCAGGGUAUAAGUGAACAUUCCCCCAAAGGUCUGUUUGCCUUUCCGUCACCUAUCGGUCGUCAGCAGGACACUGCAAGAGAAGAGACCUCAGGUGACCUCCAGAGCUUCUGGUGUGCUGUGGACUCCAGGCAGCAGACAGUUGACUACAGUCUAGAAUGGAAAUGAAGGACUAAUUUGCCCAGGGACAUUCCCUUUUGUAUUUUAAAGUAAUGCAAAGUGUCUUUUCACUUUCAGCUCUGGAUUUCAGGCCUAAGAUGAAGAGUCACUGCCAUUAGUUCCACACCAUCACAAUUGUAACAUCAAAACAAGCACUGUAUUAAAAAUAAACACAGCAGGCAUUCACUGGCAUGAUUAAAAUGUAUACAUAUGGGUG
ensembl:lncRNA